AACUCCUGGGCUUAAGCGAUUCUCUUGCCUCAGCCUCCCGAGUAGCUGGGACUACAGGCGCCCGCCACAGCGCCCGGCUAUUUUUUUGUUACAGUUUGGCCGGGACCGGGUUUGAACCUGCCACCCUCGGUAUAUGGGGCCCGCGCCUUACCGACUGAGCCACAGGCGCCGCCCUAUCCGUGUUUUUCAUACACACAAAAAUGUUUCUUGAGCUCCAGAACCGCGAGUAUCUCUGUCACAACCCGAGCAGUCACGUAUCCCCCAGCAAGCCUCCUGCCGCCGGACCUUUACAAAUCACAAGCCUACUUCGAGAAGUCCUGAGACAGGGCCCUCUCAGAAGGUUGGAGGUUUGUGUGGAGUUUGUUCCUGCGAUAGAGCACCUGUGCGAGAAAAGCAACCGCUGGUUUCCAUCCCCAUCAAGGUCUCCUAACCAGCUCAGCGUGCGCCUCCUGCUGUCUCACAGAACUGUCAGUGUACGCCGAGGCCUACGCGCGGGUAAUCCAGCCCAGUGCCGCGAGCAGCCCCCGGGCUCCAGCCCCUCCCUCUCAUGAAUUAUACAUAAGGAGGGGGGGCUACUUACCUGAGGCUCCUGCAGACCAGAGCGGCAGGCCCAGUGUCCCACUUGUCUUGAUCGGGAUCUUGCUUUCAGGAUGUUGUCUGAAGGAAUUUGGAUUACUGAGUUACUUGGUGGCUUGCCUUCCCAGUUAUAAGAGAUUUCCAGGCUUGCCAAGAGAAUGUCUUGUUCUCAGUAAUUCCUCAGAUGAGUCAUGAUACUGUUGACUGUUGGAAGACAUGCAGGAUCUUAUUCUGUUGCCCAGGCUGGAGUGCAGUGGCAUCAUCAUAGCUCACUGUAGCCUCAAACUCCUUGGCUCAAGUAAUCUCCUGCUUCAGCCUCCUGAGUAGCUGGGACUACAUGCACAUGCCAUUACUCCCAGGUAAGUUUUCUAUUUUUAGUAGAGACGGGGUCUCCUUCUUGCUCAAGCUGGUCUCAACCUCCUGACCUCAACUGAUCCUCUCACCUUGGCUUCUCAGAGUGGUGGGAUUAUAGGCAUGAGCCACUAUGCCCAGACUGAAAGUUACUGUUUAAUCUCCAACCAUACAUUUUUAUCCCAGGCUAUAGGAAAGAGUAAAAGCACAAUGUACUUCUCACCACAUCCAUAUUCCAUUGGCCAGAACAACGAAUAUCACACAUACUGUAGCUGGCAGCAGACAUGUCUGGGUUAACAGACAAUUUUUAGGUGGAUUACCAUGAACCUGAUCAUACCUUGGGAGUUCUGUUAUUAAAGGAAGAAUUAAAUGAAUUCUGCUGAACAACUAACAACACAUUACUUGGUUCAUCCAGUGAAGCAAGAUUAUCAUUUUCAAUAUCAAGAAAUAUUGAAAAUAUUUGAAAAUAUUGAGAAAUAUCAAGGCUCAGAGAUUUAAAGAAACUUUCCCAAUAUUACAUAGCUACUAAAGGCUAAGUUAGGGUUCAGCCCCAUAUGGUCUGUGCACUUCACAAUUUUAACCAGUUUUAUCUACAUGCAGAAGACUGAAACUGAACCUUCACCUCUCACUAUUGACAAAAAUUGAUUCUCAUUGGAUAAAAGAUUUAAAUUUAAGACACAAAACAAUAAAAAUCCUAGAAGAGAGUGUGGGAGGAAACACUUGAAGAUAAUAGCCUGGGAAAAAACUUUUAUGGGGAUGACACCCCUAGCAAUUGCAGCAAUACCAAAAAUAGAUAACUAGGAUGUGAUCAAGCUAAAAACCUUUUGACAGCUAAGAACACCACAAACAGAGCAAACAGCCCUCAGAAUGGGAGACGAUUUUUGCAUGUUAUGAAUCUGACAAAGGCCUGAUAACUAGAAUCUACAGAGAAUUCAAACAAUAAGAAAAGUGCAAACAACCAUCUCUAUAAGUAGGCAAGAGAUUUAAGCAGAAAUCUCUGAGGAUGACAGAUGAAUGUCCAACAAGCACAUGAAAAAAUGCUCAUCGUCUUUAAUCAUCAGAGAAAUGCAAAUCAAAACCACUCUAAGAUAUCACCUAACCCCCGCAAGAUGAGCCCACAUCACAAAGUCCCAAAAUACCAGAUGGGACUGGUGUUGGAGAGAAAGGAACACUUCUUUUUUUUUUUUUUUUUUGAGAUCAGUCAACCCCAAAUAGGGCAAGGGCACGUUUACUAUAAAUGCAUAGUCAGCAGUAAUAGGGCGAGUAGGCAAGUGGUUCAUGGAAGAGGCGCCACCCACUGGCAGGGGUGAGAGUGCAGGCAAGCAAAGGGCCUAAGUGGACCCCAGCCACCCAUGGCAGAGGUCAGCCUGGCUGCACCAAGGAGCAGGGACGGAGAGGCCAUGAGGAGUCUCCCACUAUAAUGAGACAUCCUGCUUUCUUCAGAUAGUAAUUCACUUAUUUCCCACAACAGCAUCAUGAAGUUGAUAAUAAUUAAUAACCUCAUUUUAAAAUGAGCAGAGAAGGAGAACCUCUAGCCAAAGAUCGCCAGAAAGGAAGCAGCAGUGCUAAUUCUGAUUCUGGCUGACUCCAGCUGCUCCCAGCCUGAAGCCCAGCGAGCAGCCUCACAGCAGACCUUCUCCCACCAUCGCAGGAGUGAAUCUACUUCCUUGCAGGGUGACAGCCCAACAGGAAUGCCAGGGCACCCAGGGCGAGCAGGAGGUACCAGCCAAUGGGACACUAGUCAGGGACUGAAUCAGCUGGAACCUCUGGAGAGCAGGGACACUUUUCUUUUUUCUUUUCAGAGAGCAGGGACAGUUGAAACAGUCAGAUGUUAGAAUAACCGUGCCUUACUACUAGCUGUGAGCUGGAGUUCACAGUCUUCUCUCCCAGAGGCUCAGAAUUCUAGGCGUCAUCUCUCAGGGCGUCCGGUCACCAGGAUUUUAGGCAUUCUCCUUGGGGCCACAUACGCUGAAGGCAGCUGUGCCAUAGGCUGGCCUUGUUGGAGCCUGGCUUCUUGCUGUUCCAGACAGUUUCUGGGGGUGGCCCCCUGAGUGCCAGCAGACUACAGUCUGGUUCCCUGUGCACAGAUAUCGAGCCAGUAUAGGCAGGAAAAGGCUCAAACUAUGGGAGAGUUGCCUGGUAGGUUCCUGUGCCUCCAGCAGUGGCUGAGUAAGGUAGAGCACAAAACCAGUAGCAUCCACACUGCUUGGCCUCUGCCACCAUUCCCUCAUGUUCCUUUGCCUCCAGCUGCUCCAGAGGGAUGAGGGCUGGAGUUUUCCAGGAUCCAGGGUUCCUCCCUCUUUCCACCCACACACUCGCCCUUGCCACUGCAGCCUUGCUGCUCACCACCUAUGAAGUUUCCCCCUGGCCCUGACCCCUCCCUGAAGGCUCAGCUCCACACACCUGAAACUGCUUUCAUGAUCUUCAUCUCCUCUCCCCCAAAGCACCUGGUCUUCCUUCACCUUUCCUCCAGUUGCUUAAGUCCAGCGGUGAGGGGUCAUUCUGGAUUCUCCCUCUCCCACCUCAUUCCUGAUCCUAUUCCUCACUGGGCCUGGUCUAUGUUCUCCCCGGAACAGCUCUUCCGUGCCUCUCUUCCCCUCCACCCCUUUGAGCAGACCCUGCCUGGCUCCUGUGCUCACCAACCUCUUUUUUCCGCCACCAGCCCUGCUUCCCUUUGUCUGGAGGCCUCUCCAACCAUUGAAAACCACUUCACCCCCAGGCACCAAAUGAGCAAAGUAAAGAACACAGCUAAGGCGCCAGCCACAUACACCUGAGCUGGCAGAUUCAAAUCCAGCCUGGGCCUGCCAAACAACAAUGAUGGCUGCAACCAAAAAAUAGCUGGGUGUUGUGGUGGGUGUCUGUAGUCCCAGCUACUUGGGAGGCGGAGGCAGGAGAAUCGCUUGAGCCCAGGAGUUGGAAGUUGCUGUGAGCUGUGAUGCCACAGCACUUUACCAAGGGCAACAGCUUGAGGCUCUAUCUCUAAAAAAAAAAACAAAAAACGAAAACACACGGCUUGCCGAGAAGCAGCCCCCACCUUCGGCUGACGGGGAACUGGCUGCUACGCACUCCAACUCCUUUGCCACUCUGAGCUAUGUGUUCCAUGCCAGCUCCUCAGGUGAGCCCAUGGAGUGAUAACGUGACAUUUAUUGCCUUCCCUUCCUUCCCUGUCUCAGUUUCCACAGCCCUACUACUCCUGCCUGGAAUCACCUGCUUCUAGGAACCCAAAAGCCACCUGGUCUCCUCCCAAGGAUUAUCAUCUCUUGCCCAGUGGGUCUCUGAACUAUUCAUUUCUCCAACCCAUCUCCCACAGUGCAGCAAGGGUGAUACCUUCAAAAAUCCACUCGCCUUUAUGACUCCCCAGGGCUUUCUGUGGCUCGUAGGAUCGGGAUGAAACCCCUCCACAGGGCCAUGGAGCUCGUGUGUGCCCAUCUUACGUCAGGUCCCCUUGCAUCUGUGUGCCCGGUAGCUGUUAGGCAUGCUCAGGCCUUGGUGCAAAUGCCACCUUCUCAGCAAAGCCCUCGUGGAGUCCCAGCCCAGGUCCAGACCCCGGUCAUAUGCUCAGCCAGAGCCACAUGCUAUUGUUAUUUUAUCAUCAUUUAGCUUGGUGCCUGUGGCUCAAGUGGCUAAGGCGCCAGCCACAUACACCUGGGCUAGCAGGUUCGAAUCCAGCCUAGGCCUGCCAAACAACAAUGACAGCUGCAACAACAACAACAAAAUAAAUAACCAGGCAUUGUGGCAGGCACCUGUAGUCCCAGCUACUUGGGAGGUGGAAGCAGGAGACUCUCUUGUGCCCAGGAGUUGGAGAUUGCUGUGAGCUGUGAUGCCAGAGCACUCUAUUUUGUCAUCAUUUUACAUGACUUUGUGACAGUUUGAUUCACAACUCCCUCGGUAGGCAGAGUUGAGACUACAGAAGGGCUGCCCAUGUUCACUAUUUUCUCAUUUCUCUCUAGCAAAACCCGGUUGUGUUCAAGGUGGUCACAUGCACAGAUUAAAAACUCAAUGUCCAGCAUCUGUUGCAGCCGUGAGUGGCGGUGCAGUCCAGUCUGGCCAAUGAAGGAGAAGUAGAAGUCACUUGGAAAGUUUUAGGGAAGUUGGUUUCUCAGUGUAUUUCACCCUCCCGUCUAGUGACUUUCUUCUUCUUCCUGCUAGAAACACAGGUAUGUCCUCUCCUCCCUGGAGGUUCAACGGCCAUUGCCUGACCAUGAGGACAGCAGCCACACAUUCAGUUUUUAAAUUGACACAAAAUCUUGGGGCAGCGCCUGUGGCUCAAGGAGUAGGGCGCUGGCCCCAUAUACUGGAGGUAGUGGGUUUGAGCCCGGUAAAAAAACUGGUGCUGGCUGCUCGGUGCCCAGGUCUCCCGCACGCUCUCUGGAGAGUUCCUGUAGACUGGUCUUGCUCCUCCUGCAGAACUCGCAGCACAUCACACAGUGGAGGCUCAGUUUCAACCCAGUGCUGGGCGCAGGAGAGCAGCAGCAGUAGCUGAGGCGACAGGCGGAGACGCAUGGUGUCCGUGCGCUCCCCGUGGGCGCCCAACUGCCGCCGGCCUGUGCGCUCUGGGGAAUCCGGAGCUCAGCACCUGGCACAAGGUCUUGGACCCCUGCCGGCCACCGCCCUCCGAGAAGCCAUCGCUGGGCCACCAGACCCGGGGUGGGCUAGGACUGCUGCUCCUAGGAUGAGGUGGCUGAGCGCGCUAAACCACCCGGCCCAUUGAUAAGACCGCGGCCAGGAAGGAACACUUCUACACUGCUGGAGGGAUUGCAAACUAAUACAGCCUUUUUGGAGAGAAGUACAGGGAAGCCUCAAAGAUCUAAAAAUAGAUUUUCCAUUUGACCCUGCAAUCCCAUUACUAGGCAUCUACCCAGAAGAACAAAAAUCAUUUUACCACAAAGACAUUUGCACUAUAAUGUUUAUUGUGGCUCAAUUUAUAAUUGCCAAGUCGUGGAAGCAACCUAAGUGCCCCUCAACUCACCAAUGGAUCAACAAACUGUGGUACAUGUAUACCAUGGAAUAUUAUGCGGCCAUGAAAAAGAUGGAGACUUUACAUCUAUUACAUUUACCUGAAUGGAGUUGAAAUACAUUUUUCUUAGUAAAGUAUCUCAAGAAUGGAAAAAUAAAUCUCUAAUAGGUAUUCCAUACUAAUAUGAAAUCGAUAUAUAAACAAUUAUAUGUUCACAAGAACAAUAAAACACUAUUAUAGUCCAGUAGUUCGGGGGUAGAGGGAAGUGGGGGGGAGUGGGAGGACAUAUGGCAGAAGGAGGGAGAGCAUGAGGUGGGAUCUCACCUACUGUGCACAUUGUGAGGGUGGAUAACAUGCCCCCUGGGUGAGGGGCUCUUCUACAAAUGGAGCUUUACCUUGAAAGUGAGAACAAUGUUACCUAACUAUUGUACCCUCAUAUUAAUUUGAAUAAAGUUAAAAAAAACAAUUUUAACCAGUUCAUUUUGAGCCACGAUUCUGUGCUUAGAACAAAAAGAUUUUAAAAAAUCCAAAGAAAAUGUGGGAUAAGAGAAUAGGAAGGAGACAGGAGUAAAGAUUUCCAUCCCAGGUGGAAGGAGACUCAAGAGGAAA